GGGAGGUAAGGACACUGUGGCAGGGUAGGACACAGCUCAGGGAGUGGGGCUGGCUGGGGUCCCUGCAGUGGAUGCCUCCUGGAGACAGGACAAGAGCCCACUCCUUAUUUCCAGCUCAGAGUUCCUCACCCAGCACCCAGUGGGACAGGCUGGUGCUAAAGGUCCCACAUUGGAACCUCGCUAGUUGCUGUGAUUUGAGUGUCUUCCAUGGAGCCGUUGCUACGUGGCAUAAGGCGAAUCCCCGGGUGGGUGAGUUAAUAGAGGAUUAUGGCUCUGGGUGUCUCUCUGCUCCUUGUCCCCUUGGCUGAUCCCCAAGUGUCUGAGAGAAGAGCACUGGGUCCGUCAGUCACUAGUGCUUGAGCAGACCCUUGUUUACUUCCCUGCACCCUGUAGAAGCAGAGAAAGGAGGUGGGGUUUGCCCAAGUCCAUUGCCAGUCAGGAAGCAGAAUGCCCCAAGCCGAGAACUGGGGAGGGGACACAGUGAGCUCCAGAGCCAAUAUGCACCACAUGCGCCUCCUCAUGUCUCCAGUCCCGGCCAGGGAAUGGCAGAGUAUCUGGACCUCAGCCACUGUGCCAAAGAAGCACAUUGUCACUGACCCAAGUUGCGACUACUUGCUGCACAAGUAGAAAAUCAAAGACCCCCUGGCCCCCUGUCUCACACCUGUGCUGAGAACAUCCAAACCUUGGAACACACCAUAACCCAGUGCCCCCAGAUUGGAGUCAAAGGUGAAAUGGGUGAUUUCCACAACAUCACAGAGGAGGCCUUGGAAUGGCUCCUGGAUCUCCAAGUGCAUCUACAGAAUGCUGCCCUAUAGACGCCACGUGAGAGAGACUCUGUGAGCUUGUCCUGCCUCCCACAAGCUGAAUUGCUGCAGCAGAAGAAAAGUUUCCUAGGAGUGUCUGUGAUGGGGACUGGGACAUGAGUCUCCUUAUCCUGGUCAGGUUGCAGAUGGGAUUCCCUUUGGCAGAAACCAAGGAGCUGCCGAGGCCAUACCCAGCUACUAGAGAAAUCACUAAUUUGGGGGGAAUAGACCUUUGGUCUGUCAGCUCCAACCACCUUCCCCCCCCCCCCCCGCACACUCCUCUAGCCACUGAAGUGCAGGAGAUCUCUCUGCUGGAAGCAAUACAGGGUCCCCUAUCAUCUCGGUGCGCUGCACAGCAGAGUGGGCCCUGCUCACCCACAUUAGAGAUCUAUUUCCAGCCCAUCAUGGCCCCUGCGAUCAAUUGCCCUCCAGAAAGAGCCACUGGAGGCUUUGGUCCCUAAGCAUCUGCCAUCUUUUCAUAAAGGGGCUUCCCUGAGCCAUGGGACCCUGAAAGCCUCCUGGGGAAUGAACGGCCUUGGCUACAGCAGCUCUCUUACCCUUCCUUUGGGGCACCGGACACUGAGGCCAUUCUAUCUCCAGGGCUUGGAGGCUGGCUCUGGGCAAUCUGCUACAGCCUCCUGUCCUGUUGGUUUUAGGUCUUUGGAAAAUUCUUCUCUGCGGGGCAGAGGAAAUGCUUCCUCAAGACAGCCGUGCCAGCGAUCUACGCCCCCCUGCUGUGCAUUAGCCAGGCUGGGCUUCUCCUCACGUACGCCAUCCUGGGGGAAGCCGAGCAACUGCUGGGGUACACGCUGGAGGACACCACCGCCAAGGUGAUGGGUCAGCUCCGCAGCAUCCGGCAGCUGCACCAGGUGCCUGAGGUGCUGCAAGGGCUGAGCCUCACCUGAUGCCCUUAAAGGUCCCCCCUCAGCAACUCCCGCUCCCUGCUGCAGAUCUUCACACGGGUCGGCUUGCUGCAGGAGACACUGACGGACAUCAUCAUCUACAGUGCCAACUGGAAGGAACAGCUCCAGCUGCGGGCGCUGGGCAGAGCAGGACUCACCGCAAACCGAACCAAAUGUCACCUGGGCCAGAAAGAACUGAUCUACCCGGGCUAUACGGUGGGCCAAGGGAAAAUACGGUCUUUGGUAUCUGAGCCACAAGCUGUUCUAUCUAAUAGGGAACCCCUUCUCCUUGGUAACAGACCACACACCCCUCAGGUGGAUUAACAGCAUGAAGGACUCACACACACGGAUCAUGUGGUGGUACAUGUCCCUCCAACCCUAUUCCUUCCGAGUGUUACACCGGCCGGGAAAGGCUCAUGCGGAUGCAGAUUUA